UGGAGUGUGACAAUGGUGUUUGUUUCCUUUUCGUCAAACGCCAUUAUCACACUAAAUA
rnacentral:pre_miRNA from 1 species